UAUCUUUGUAUCAUCUCUCCAGGAUUAUUGCGGAUGUCUUGAGCAUGGGACCAUUCUUUUUGCAUCCACCAAAUAACUAUUGUACUACUUUGCAUAUAUAAAUAUGAAAUCCAUACUGGUUCAGUGGAAUGAAGUGAGUUGUGUAUGACACCAUGCCCAGCUAUUUUUUUUAAAUAAAUGACUUUCUAAGGUAUCUACAUUUAUUCAGUCCUGUGUUUCUGUUAGGACAUCUUCUAUUACAAAAUCUACGAGGAAAUCUAGAGGCCUCCAAGGACCUGGCUGGGCUUCAACUCUGGCUGAGUUUGAGAUGAGUAAACCAGACUGAAGGACCUUGCCCAAGGCCUGCUUCAGCUGCCAGCCACCCACACUUGCUAAGAGAAAGGAAAGGAGCUUUGUCACCUCCUGAGGGACUGCCUCUGCCAUCAGAAAACCACCCCAAUCCCUGGCACCAGCAGAGCUGGGUUGCAUCUGACUACCGUUAGCAGCUGUCCUUCAGAAGGAGGAGAUCCACCUGUCUCGAUAUCAGUGUCCUCAUUUGUGGAAUAAAAGCUCUGGAAUAAGAUCCACCCUGAUUUCAGCGGGCGUUCCUGGGUCUUGUAUGCACUAGGUGCCCUCAAUGCUUGGCAACUGGAAUGGGUUAGCCUGGAGGCAUUUAGGCUGUCCUUCUACAACCACAGAAGAGCCAUCACUGGCAGAGAGAUCCUUGGCGCAGUUAAGCAGAGAUCUUCUCAGAAGAGCUUUUGAAUAAAUGAAGUUGUUCAGAAUGGCCUUGUUAAAAUGACUCACUUGUCAAAAAACUAGAUGUGUUGGAAGGCUGGGUUGGAAGACAAGAUGUCUGAGAAGCUGUCCUGCUGCAUGAGGAGUUUCAUUGCUACACACCUAGUCUCUGGGUCCUGUGUUUUUGGCCUCCAGCUUACUUCGUGAACAUAAUAAAGGAAAGGCAUUUUCUCUUGUGCAUGCUAUGUGUGCAUGUGUGUAUGUACUUGUUGUCUAUGGCUAUUAAUUUCUUAUGUAUACUACUCCCGUUUUGCGCUUACCCAUUGUAUUCUUUGAAGGACACAACUAGAUCGAUGACACUGUAUACCCAUCAUCUCUCCCC
rnacentral:lncRNA from 10 species